GAUGAAGAACGUAGCGAAAUGCGAUAAGUAAUGUGAAUUGCAGAAUUCCGUGAAUCAUCGAAUCUUUGAACGCACAUUGCGCCCCCUGGUAUUCCGGGGGGCAUGCCUGUCCGAGCGUCAUUGCCGCCCUCAAGCACGGCUUGUGUGUUGGGCCCCCGCCCCCCGGCUUCGGGGGGCGGGCCCGAAAGGCAGCGGCGGCACCGCGUCCGGUCCUCGAGCGUAUGGGGCUUCGUCACCCGCUCUGUAGGCCCGGCCGGCGCCCGCCGGCGACCCCAAUCAAUCUUUCCAGGUUGACCUCGGAUCAGGUAGGGAUACCCGCUGAACUUAAGCAUAUCAAUAAGCGGAGGA
rnacentral:misc_RNA from 1 species